UACGAAGGGGGCUAGCGUUGCUCGGAAUUACUGGGCGUAAAGGGCGCGUAGGCGGACAGUUUAGUCAGAGGUGAAAGCCCAGGGCUCAACCUUGGAAUUGCCUUUGAUACUGGCUGUCUUGAGUUCGGGAGAGGUGAGUGGAAUGCCGAGUGUAGAGGUGAAAUUCGUAGAUAUUCGGCGGAACACCAGUGGCGAAGGCGGCUUUCUGGUCUGUAACUGACGCUGAGGCGCGAAAGCGUGGGGAGCAAACAGG
rnacentral:rRNA from 1 species